GUCUGGUUGAUGUUAACAUCUUGGUUAGGAGCUCCUCUAAGGUGUGGUUGAUGUUAACACCUUGGUUAGGAGCUCCUCUAAGGUCUGGUUGAUGUUAACACCUUGGUUAGGAGCUCCUCUAAGGUGUGGUUGAUGUUAACAUCUUGGUUAGGAGCUCCUCUAAGGUGUGGUUGAUGUUAACAUCUUGGUUAGGAGCUCCUCUAAGGUCUGGUUGAUGUUAACAUCUUGGUUAGGAGCUCCUCUAAGGUGAGGUUGUCUGGUUGCUGUUUGCUCUCCCUGAGCAGGACCACCUCUCCCUCCAGUUUGGUGAACUCAUCCCUCAUGGCAGCCAUGGUGGUGAGGAGGGCCUGAGCCUGCUCUGCACUGAGGGGGUCGCUCUCCUCCUGGGGCAUGUCCUCCACUAUGGUGGGAAGAGAGGUGCUGGAUGUGCCUUUUUGGGUGGGGAUAGUAGGGGUGAGGGUGGUGCUGGUGGAGUUUGUCUUGUGGGAGGACAGUCCCAGUCUUGUAGAGGUUGAUUGUUAUCAUGGUGCUGUCAGGGUCGUCUGUCUCUUUGAU
rnacentral:lncRNA from 1 species